GAGGUCCAGCCUGCCCAGUGAAAUUCAACGGCCGCGGUAUUCUAACCGUGCGAAGGUAGCGUAAUCACUUGUCUUCUAAAUAAAGACCAGUAUGAAAGGCAUCACGAAGACUAAGCUGUCUCCUUUCUCUAAUCAGUGAACCUAAUCUCCCCAUGAAGAAGCGGGGAUCCAGCUAUAAGACGAGAAGACCCUAUGGAGCUUAAAACAAUUAUAUGUUUUUGGUUGGGGCGACCGCGGAGAAAAACUCACCCUCCACAAUGAAAAACAAGUUACAACUUUAUGUAUCAACAAAUUGACAUUCAUUGACCCAACAAAUUGAUUAACGAACCAAGUUACCCUAGGGAUAACAGCACAAUCCACUUCAAGAGCUCCUAUCGACAAGUGGGCUUAUGACCUCGAUGUUGGAUCGGGAUAUCCUAGUGGUGCAGCCGCUACAAAGGUU
rnacentral:rRNA from 1 species